AGCUCUGCAGAAAACACCGCCCUGGGCUGGGUCCCCUCCCUGCCUGUCGCUGCCCCGAGUCGCGGCUCCAGCCUGGAGGUGGGAUCCGACCGGGGACACCCCUCGGUAUCUCCCAGCCCCCUGCAGCUGGGAUUGACUCCUCAGCCCUCCCGCUGCUCUCGGAGCUGCUCUCUCUACCUUCAGCACCACUUUGAAGAGCAAAGGAAGGAUGGGAAGGAAGACAGGAGAAAAAAAAAAAGGAAAAAAAAUUGAAAGCCUCCAGCUUGAACCCUGCUGCUGCAGAAACAUCUGUAUCUAUAAAUAUCUGUGCUGGGAGUGGGAACAGGCUGUAUCUGUAUCUGCAGCAGCUCCCGAGGCGGCGGCAGCAGCCUCGCCCCAGCUAACCCCGCUCCGGCUCCGGCACACGCUCCCGAACACGCCCCGGGCUCCGCAGCCUGCCGCCAGGUUUUGGGAAUAAACCCCCAGACUGGUCUCCAAUAAAACAGGAAAUAAAGCAGGGCCGUGCUCGUGUUCCCAGCGAGUUCCCGGCGAGGGGGAGCAGCGGCCUGGGGUCACUGGGGCUCUGGGGGACAGGGGGGCUGUCCUUGCUGGGCCACCAUGUCCUGCUGCUGUCCCCACCCCGCUGUCACUCUGGCAGUGACCUCGUCCAC